rnacentral:rRNA from 1 species
AGAAUCUGCCCUUAAGAGUGGGACAACAGAGGGAAACUUCUGCUAAUACCGCAUAUGCGCGUACCUGAAAUGGUAUUCGUGAAAACUCCGGUGCUUAAGGAUGAGUCUGCAUCUGAUUAGCUAGUUGGGGGUGUAAUGGACCACCAAGGCGACGAUCAGUAGCUGGUUUGAGAGGAUGAUCAGCCACAAUGGGACUGAGACACGGCCCAUACUCCUACGGGAGGCAGCAGUAGGGAAUUUUGCGCAAUGGGGGAAACCCUGACGCAGCAACGCCGCGUGAACGAAUAAGCCCUUCGGGGUGUAAAGCUCUGUCAGUAGGGACGAAACUUGACGGUACCUACAGAGGAAGCAUCGGCUAACUCCGUGCCAGCAGCCGCGGUAAUACGGGGGAUGCAAGCGUUGUCCGGAAUCAUUGGGCGUAAAGAGUUCGUAGGUGGUUUGUUAAGUUAGGUGUUAAAGGCGCAGGCUCAACUUGUGUAUGGCACUUGAUACUGGCAGACUUGAAUGCGGUAGAGGUAAAGGGAAUUCCUGGUGUAGCGGUGAAAUGCGUAGAUAUCAGGAGGAACAUCGGUGGCGUAAGCGCUUUACUGGGCCGUAAUUGACACUGAGGAACGAAAG